UACGUAGGGGGCAAGCGUUGUCCGGAAUCAUUGGGCGUAAAGAGCGUGUAGGCGGCCUGGUAAGUCCGCUGUGAAAGUCCAGGGCUCAACCCUGGAAUGCCGGUGGAAACUGUCAGGCUCGAGUCCGGAAGAGGCGAGUGGAAUUCCUGGUGUAGCGGUGAAAUGCGCAGAUAUCAGGAGGAACACCAAUGGCGAAGGCAGCUCGCUGGGACGGUACUGACGCUGAGACGCGAAAGCGUGGGGAGCAACAG
rnacentral:rRNA from 1 species